UACGUAGGGUGCGAGCGUUAAUCGGAAUUACUGGGCGUAAAGCGUGCGCAGGCGGUUCGUUAAGACAGAUGUGAAUCCCCGGGCUCAACCUGGGAACUGCGUUUGUGACUGUAUGACUAGAGUACGGUAGAGAGGGGUGGAAUUCCUGGUGUAGCAGUGAAAUGCGUAGAUAUGCGGAGGAACACCGAUGGCGAAGGCAAUCCCCUGGGCCUGCACUGACGCUCAUGCACGAAAGCGUGGGGGAGCAAACAGG
rnacentral:rRNA from 1 species